UACGUAGGGACCAAGCGUUGUUCGGAUUUACUGGGCGUAAAGGGCGCGUAGGCGGCGUGGUAAGUCACUUGUGAAAUCUCUGAGCUUAACUCAGAACGGCCAAGUGAUACUGCUGUGCUAGAGUGCAGAAGGGGCAAUCGGAAUUCUUGGUGUAGCGGUGAAAUGCGCAGAUAUCAGGAGGAACACCGAUUGCGAAGGCAGCUCGCUGGGACGUCACUGACGCUGAGACGCGAAAGCGUGGGGAGCAAACAGG
rnacentral:rRNA from 1 species